GAGGAAACCAAGGGCAGAAGGACUGAGAAAGUGACAGAGCAAUGAGGAGCAAAUUCAAGACACAAUUCAGGUUCCAGUGCCUGGAGCAGGAGAACAAGGCUGUGGGCACCAGUGGAAUCCUGAAGGACAGAGAUGUAUAGACGAGAGUCAAGGUAACCGCCCCUCUCCCGGGAGUGAAGACUGCUGCCGUGUCUUGUUCGCCCUCCACACACGGUGAGGUGUUGCGCCAGGACC